UACGUAGGGUCCGAGCGUUGUCCGGAAUUAUUGGGCGUAAAGGGCUCGUAGGCGGUUUGUCGCGUCGGAAGUGAAAUCUUACAGCUUAACUGUGAACUUGCUUUCGAUACGGGCAGACUUGAGGCAUUCAGGGGAGAACGGAAUUCCUGGUGUAGCGGUGAAAUGCGCAGAUAUCAGGAGGAACACCAAUUGCGAAGGCAGCUCGCUGGAACGUUACUGACGCUGAGGAGCGAAAGCGUGGGGAGCGAACAGG
rnacentral:rRNA from 1 species